GGAGAGGUGCUGGAGCGGUUGAACAGGUUGGUCUUGAAAACCAAUAAGGGCGCAAGCUCUUCGUGGGUUCGAAUCCCACCCUCUCCG
rnacentral:tRNA from 1 species